ensembl:lncRNA
GUUAUACACAUAGCUUAUCUCCCUGAUCUGCCUAGUAAAGGGAUGGAGAAAGUGCAAGCAGAAUGUCAUGGGUGCUGCUGUGAUAUAAAAAUACGGUUCAUAAAAUCAUGGAAUAGCCUGGGUUGAAAAGGACCACAAUGAUCAUCUAGUUUCAACCCCCUGCAAUGUGCAGGGUCACCAACCACCAGAUCAGGCUGCGCAGAGCCACAUCCAGCCUCCCAGACCCUCCAAAAGAAAAGAUGAGGAUGGACUUGCCCAUGAAGUGAACUGGAGAGCAAUCUACAGAAGCUGAUACCACUGUUAUAUUUUUGACAGCAAUAUCAAGACAUGAGGAUCAGUCUCUUAGUGAAAAAUGAUGUUCUAAAACAUUGAACAAUCUUUCAUCAUUUCCCUGAAAAUGUGGAUUUAGAAUUAGAGAAAUCUUC